AAAUGCUGGCAACAACAGCAAAAGAGAUGGUCAACCUCACUACUGAUUACUCUGCGGCACAGAAGGUUAUGCUAAGAUGGAAGAAGGAACCAGAUGAGGGAAGAUUAACCUUUCGCUGUCCACAAUUCUUUCCUUCUUAUCGUGGAGGAUUCGGUAACCCACCCCCCUCCAAUCCAGCCUAUCUGUCUGAAUUGCUGAAAGCAUAAUGCUCACAUAUGAGAGAU